rnacentral:rRNA from 1 species
CUACGGGAGGCUCCAGUGGGGAAUAUUGGACAAUGGGGGAAACCCUGAUCCAGCAAUGCCGCGUGUGUGAAGAAGGCCUGCGGGUUGUAAAGCACUUUCGGUUGGGAGGACUGCUUCUAGCACUAAUAUUGCUGGAAGUUGACGUUACCUUCAGAAGAAGCACCGGCUAACUCCGUGCCAGCAGCCGCGGUAAUACGGAGGGUGCAGGCGUUAAUCGGAAUUACUGGGCGUAAAGCGCGCGUAGGCGGCUAGAUCAGUCGGGUGUGAAAGCCCCGGGCUUAACCUGGGAACUGCAUCCGAUACUGUCUAGCUUGAGUACAGGAGAGGAGAGUGGAAUUCCACAUGUAGCGGUGAAAUGCGUAGAUAUGUGGAGGAACACCAAUGGCGAAGGCAGCUCUCUGGCCUGAUACUGACGCUGAGGUGCGAAAGCGUGGGGAGCAAACAGGAUUAGAUACCCUAGUAGUC